rfam:Odoribacter splanchnicus DSM 20712, complete genome.
GGGGGAUUAGCUCAGUUGGCUAGAGCGCCUGCUUUGCACGCAGGAGGUCAAGGGUUCGACUCCCUUAUUCUCCA